rnacentral:rRNA from 1 species
CCUACGGGGGGCAGCAGUGGGGAAUAUUGGACAAUGGGGGCAACCCUGAUCCAGCCAUGCCGCGUGUGUGAAGAAGGCCCUCGGGUUGUAAAGCACUUUCAGUGAGGAAGAACGCCUGGUGGUUAAUACCCAUCAGGAAAGACAUCACUCACAGAAGAAGCACCGGCUAACUCCGUGCCAGCAGCCGCGGUAAUACGGAGGGUGCGAGCGUUAAUCGGAAUUACUGGGCGUAAAGCGCGCGUAGGUGGCUUGAUAAGCCGGUUGUGAAAGCCCCGGGCUCAACCUGGGAACGGCAUCCGAAACUGUCAAGCUAGAGUGCAGGAGAGGAAGGUAGAAUUCCCGGUGUAGCGGUGAAAUGCGUAGAGAUCGGGAGGAAUACCAGUGGCGAAGGCGGCCUUCUGGACUGACACUGACACUGAGGUGCGAAAGCGUGGGUAGCAAACAGGAUUAGAUACCCCGGUAGUC